rnacentral:rRNA from 1 species
UACGUAUGGUGCAAGCGUUAUCCGGAUUUACUGGGUGUAAAGGGAGCGCAGGCGGCGCGGCAAGUCUGAUGUGAAAACCCCCGGCUCAACCGGGGGACUGCAUUGGAAACUACCGGGCUGGAGUGCCGGAGAGGUAGGCGGAAUUCCUGGUGUAGCGGUGAAAUGCGUAGAUAUCAGGAGGAACACCAGUGGCGAAGGCGGCCUACUGGACGGUGACUGACGCUGAGGCUCGAAAGCGUGGGGAGCAAACAGG